GUACUGGCUUCUUGGGCUAAGAUCAAGUAUGAAAAUGAGGGUGAGACUUCUCCCUUGCAUUCCGGGAAGGCUGACCCUGUGAAUCUCCCCAAAUGCAGGGAUCUUAACUGCACAAUUUUGUGGCAAUGGGGGACUGCCUUUGUGCUUUCUCCCU
rnacentral:snRNA from 1 species